GGGGCUCCACCAAACCCUUCAUCCCUUCUCUGCCCUGAUUGGCUGAUCCUUUAGUUGAGUUUAUAGACGGUGGGCUGAUUUAAGUAGAUUAUGAUGUGACGGGAUGAGAGGAAGUGUGUGUUGGUGUGUCACACUGUGGUUCCCACAGCGAUGGCUUCUCCGUGGAAAUGCCUGUGCGUGCUCCUCCUGCAUCUGCAGCCGUCCUCCUGCCUCCGUCUCCUCCCUGCUCACAGCUUUGUUUCAUCUGUCCAUGAUGGAAGUGUAAGUGGACGGAUGGAGGGGGAAGCCAUGGUAUUUGUUUUUUUUUAAGUCAGCCCUGGUUAUCUUUGACUCCAGGAUUGUUGGAGGUGCAGUUCCCUCACUGUGCGUUUGUGCUUCUCUUCAGCUUCAUGUUGAGUCUUCAGCAGCGUCGCAGAGGAAACUGCUUCAGAUGAAUGGAGCUCCCCUGUCACCGUUGAAGAUUUUCUCCAAUGGGGAGCCGUGUCUUCUGUUCCUGGCCCGGAAACUGUCUCUGCGCUAUGAGAAGAACAAGCAGCUGGACCUGACAGAACAAGCCUUUUCUUCACAUAAACCCGUAGACAUCAGCCAGUCUGUGUGCCGCCAGGACAAAGCCACGUAGGUCCACUUGUUCGAUUUCCCUCUAGGUUCAGAGUCCUUCCGGAGGUUCCACGCACACAUGACCAGCUCUUAAAAAUCCUUUCUGCCUGUGUUUUGCAGGCUGGUGAUGGCGUUUGGAGAUGUGGAGGAUCUGAGAGACCUUUCCAUCAGGUCAGUGAUAUGGUCCACAUGUACUAGAAUGGACUCAAAGGUCCAAACAAAAGCAAAG
rnacentral:lncRNA from 1 species